rnacentral:rRNA from 1 species
UUAAGUCAGAUGUGAAAGCCCAGGGCUCAACCUUGGAACUGCAUUUGAUACUGGCAAACUAGAGUAUGGUAGAGGAAUGGGGAAUUUCUGGUGUAGCGGUGAAAUGCGUAGAGAUCAGAAGGAACACCAAUGGCGAAGGCAACAUUCUGGACCAAUACUGACACUGAGGGACGAAAGCGUGGGGAUCAAACAGGAUUAGAUACCCUGGUAGUCCACGCUGUAAACGAUGAGUACUAGCUGUUGGAUUCGGUGUAAAGGAUCUAGUGGCGUAGCUAACGCGUUAAGUACUCCGCCUGGGGACUACGGCCGCAAGGCUAAAACUCAAAGGAAUUGACGGGGACCCGCACAAGCGGUGGAGCAUGUGGUUUAAUUCGAUGCAACGCGAAGAACCUUACCUGGUCUUGACAUCCUGCGAACUUUCUAGAGAUAGAUUGGUGCCUUCGGGAACGCAGUGACAGGUGCUGCACGGCUGUCGUCAGCUCGUGUUGUGAAAUGUUGGGUUAAGUCCCGCAACGAGCGCAACCCCUAUUGAUAGUUACCAUCAUUAAGUUGGGUACUCUAUUGAGACUGCCGCUGACAAGGCGGAGGAAGGUGGGGACGACGUCAAGUCAUCAUGGCCCUUACGACCAGGGCUACACACGUGCUACAAUGGGUAUUACAGAGGGCAGCGAAGUAGCGAUAUGGAGCGAAACUCAGAAAGGUACUCUUAGUCCGGAUUGCAGUCUGCAACUCGACUGCAUGAAGUCGGAAUCGCUAGUAAUCGCAGGUCAGAAUACUGCGGUGAAUACGUUCCCGGGUCUUGUACACACCGCCCGUCACAGCCAUGGGAGUGGGUUGCUCCAGAAGUAGAUAGCUU